GGAGUAACACGUGAGUAACCUGCCCUUGACUUUGGGAUAACUUCAGGAAACUGGGGCUAAUACCGGAUAGGAGCUCCUGCUGCAUGGUGGGGGUUGGAAAGUUUCGGCGGUUGGGGAUGGACUCGCGGCUUAUCAGCUUGUUGGUGGGGUAGUGGCUUACCAAGGCUUUGACGGGUAGCCGGCCUGAGAGGGUGACCGGCCACAUUGGGACUGAGAUACGGCCCAG
rnacentral:rRNA from 1 species